GAGGGCGCCAUAAGACCUGCUAACUCUUAAAUCUGGAGAUAACUACCAGCCCCC
rnacentral:tRNA from 1 species